CUCGUUGAUCCCGUCCUCGGCCCUGCCUCCUAAAUGCGCUCCCCUCUUUCUAUUGGUCGGUACGGUCGCCACGCCUCCGGCUCCGGACGUUGAUUGGUUGAAAGGAACAGCCGUCUCAGUAAGCUGCGUGGAGACCAGGCGGCCGUAGGAGCUGGCCAGCGUUAAGGUGUAGACCAUCAGAAUGCUGUCGGAGAGGGCAGGCAGGAAGGCCAGGGCAUAAAGGGGGGCCCGAGUGUCCCCUUCCUCCUCCCAGGCACCCUUGCCUCACCUGGACGCCAGCAUCAGAGGGACAGCGAAGCUGAGGGUCCCCAGGGAGAAAAGAAAAUCUCGGACCCCCUGAGACAGGCCCUGGAUGGCAUUAGCAGGGCUAGGUGUGCACCAAGGACCGGCUUAGGGAUCUAGGCUUAGGCAGUCAGGCACUCAAGUAUGGCCCUCACAACCAAGGACAAGUCACAGGUAUGAGGGAUAUAGGGUCCGCACUUACACGAAAAUGCCAUAGAGCACAGGGACAGCGGACAGGGCCAAGCCCAGGAGCAGCACCAGUGGGAAGAAGAAGUUCGCUGUGGAGGCCCGGAAGGUGCGAGAAGCCGGUGAGAAGAAGGUAGAAGAGGAGUAGGAACUUGGCUGUAUUGAGCAGCGCCAGGAGGGGGCAGUAGAAGCCACCAACCCAGACAAGUGUCUGGCCGUACACCAGCCCCAAUACUUCGUCGGGGACUUGGAACUCCAGGGUUCCCAACA